rnacentral:lncRNA from 1 species
GCCGGACGCAGGCGUGCCUGCGCAGUGCGCGGAGGAGUGCUGUUCGUGUGAUCGAGUCCCUGGGUUGCUUCCUGGGGUCUGUGGUGCUGGGUGUGCUAUCUGCGUGUGCUUCUCUAGCGAGAGAUUGUGGGCGAGUGACCGAGUGGGCAAGGGGCCGUCACUGUGUGUGCGUGAUUGUGACGGUGUGUGGUGGUAGCUUCUGACUCCGCGUGGGUCGUUGAAUGUGUGACUGGGACCGUUUAGCGGUGGAUACACAACUGUGUGCGGCUGUGGAAGAUUGACUCAUCCGUUACGUUCCCAUUUCCGUGGAACAACAGUUUUACCAGAAGGUUUCGAAGGAACCUUAAAGUUUGGAAGCGUAACAGUUUAUCUGUCAGGCGGCUUUGGAGUCAUCAAAUGUGAGAAGCCCUGGACUUUACACAUCCCGAGCCAGUGUGAUCCAGUAUGAUUGGGAGUCCGAGUGCCAGAUGCCGGUCGGGACCUGUUAUGCUGGGUCUCAGAAUGCGGAAACUCUCCCUGUCCGAGGUGGAACAGUUUGUCCUUGAGUGAGGACCGGAGUCCUGAGUGACUCUUGAUUUGAUCCUGUUUCCCUCAAACCUGAGAUGGGAGCCUCACUGUAUUGCCCAGGCUGGUCUUGAACUCCGGAGCUCAAGUGAUCGUCUUGCUUCAGCCUUCCAAAAUGAUGGUGAAGCUGCAUCAUUGUCUGGGGUAAAUACCUGAGGUUCGUUGUCUCACGCCAAGGGAAUCAAGGACGUGGACACACAAGAAGACAUACAGCCCUGCCGAGCAAACAAUGAACGUAACUCACAAACUUCCUGCUUAUCAUCAAACGCACGCAUCCACUUAUCAUCAAACACCUCGGGUGACAGAAGAAUGCAGGUCAGCUCCCUGCUGCCUUGGCAUUAUCAAUCAGCCCAGGAACCAUCCUAUAAAAUCUCCAGCAAGCCUUUGUUUCUUGCAGUCAGCUCCUCUUCCACUGAUUCUGCCUGUUGCUCCCUGAUAACCUACUUUGAUACUGUCUUUAAUAAAUCUGCUUUUCUUCA